rnacentral:SRP_RNA from 1 species
GCUGGGCGUGGUGGCGCAUGCCUGUAGUCCCAGCUACUCGGGAGGCUGAGGUGGGAGGAUUUCCUGAGUCCAGGAGUUCUGGGCUGUAGUGCACUAUGCUGAUCUGGUGUCCGCACUAAGUUCAGCAUCAAUAUGGUGACCUCCCAGGAGUGGGGUACCACCAGGUUGCCUAAGGAGGGGUGAACCGACCCAGGUCGGAAACGGAGCAGGUCAAAACUCCCAUGCUGAUCAGUAGUGGGAUGGCACCUGUGAAUAGCCACUGCACUCCAGCCUGGACAACAUAGCGAGACCCCAUCUCUU